rnacentral:rRNA from 1 species
GUUUGGUUAAGUUAGAAAGGGCGCACGGUGGAUGCCUUGACACUAGGAGUCGAUGAAGGACGGGACUAACGCCGAUAUGCUUCGGGGAGCUGUAAGUAAGCUUUGAUCCGAAGAUUUCCGAAUGGGGAAACCCACCAUACGUAAUGGUAUGGUAUCCUUAUCUGAAUACAUAGGGUAAGGAAGACAGACCCAGGGAACUGAAACAUCUAAGUACCUGGAGGAAGAGAAAGCAAAUGCGAUUUCCUGAGUAGCGGCGAGCGAAACGGAACAUAGCCCAAACCAAGAGGCUUGCCUCUUGGGGUUGUAGGACAUUCUAUACGGAGUUACAAAGGAACGAGGUAGACGAAGCGACCUGGAAAGGUCCGUCGUAGAGGGUAACAACCCCGUAGUCGAAACUUCGUUCUCUCUUGAAUGUAUCCUGAGUACGGCGGAACACGUGAAAUUCCGUCGGAAUCUGGGAGGACCAUCUCCCAAGGCUAAAUACUCCCUAGUGAUCGAUAGUGAACCAGUACCGUGAGGGAAAGGUGAAAAGCACCCCGGAAGGGGAGUGAAAGAGAUCCUGAAACCGUGUGCCUACAAAUAGUCAGAGCCCGUUAACGGGUGAUGGCGUGCCUUUUGUAGAAUGAACCGGCGAGUUACGAUCCCGUGCGAGGUUAAGCUGAAGAGGCGGAGCCGCAGCGAAAGCGAGUCUGAAUAGGGCGUUUAGUACGUGGUCGUAGACCCGAAACCAGGUGAUCUACCCAUGUCCAGGGUGAAGUUCAGGUAACACUGAAUGGAGGCCCGAACCCACGCACGUUGAAAAGUGCGGGGAUGAGGUGUGGGUAGCGGAGAAAUUCCAAUCGAACCUGGAGAUAGCUGGUUCUCCCCGAAAUAGCUUUAGGGCUAGCCUUAAGUGUAAGAGUCUUGGAGGUAGAGCACUGAUUGGACUAGGGGUCCUCAUCGGAUUACCGAAUUCAGUCAAACUCCGAAUGCCAAUGACUUAUCCUUAGGAGUCAGACUGCGAGUGAUAAGAUCCGUAGUCAAAAGGGAAACAGCCCAGACCGCCAGCUAAGGUCCCAAAGUGUGUAUUAAGUGGAAAAGGAUGUGGAGUUGCUUAGACAACUAGGAUGUUGGCUUAGAAGCAGCCACCAUUUAAAGAGUGCGUAAUAGCUCACUAGUCGAGUGACUCUGCGCCGAAAAUGUACCGGGGCUAAAUACACCACCGAAGCUGCGGAUUGAUACCGAAUGGUAUCAGUGGUAGGGGAGCGUUCUAAGGACAGUGAAGUCAGACCGUAAGGACUGGUGGAGUGCUUAGAAGUGAGAAUGCCGGUAUGAGUAGCGAAAGACGGGUGAGAAUCCCGUCCACCGAAUGCCUAAGGUUUCCUGAGGAAGGCUCGUCCGCUCAGGGUUAGUCAGGACCUAAGCCGAGGCCGACAGGCGUAGGCGAUGGACAACAGGUUGAUAUUCCUGUACCACCUCUUUAUCGUUUGAGCAAUGGAGGGACGCAGAAGGAUAGAAGAAGCGUG